UACGUAGGGAGCAAGCGUUGUUCGGAAUCAUUGGGCGUAAAGAGCGCGUAGGUGGUUUGGUAAGUCUGGUGUGAAAGCCCAGAGCUCAACUCUGGAACUGCAUCAGAAACUGCUAAACUUGAGUGUGGGAGAGGAGAGUGGAAUUCCCAGUGUAGAGGUGAAAUUCGUAGAUAUUGGGAGGAACACCGGUGGCGAAGGCGGCUCUCUGGACCACAACUGACACUGAGGCGCGAAAGCUAGGGGAGCGAACGGG
rnacentral:rRNA from 1 species